GCUUCCGCCACACACGCCGUAACUCCUAUCACCCUACUGCUCCUCAGUCCUCAGUAUACCAUAGCUUGGCUUCCCCGAAUGGCCGUUCCCAUUUAUAACUACUACUGUUCCCCGCUCCUCGGUUGCCUGCCCUGUGCCUUCCCCUUCUCCUCCUUUCCACCGUAUCGUCAGCUACACCUUCUCUCACCCAAUUCUUUACACUCCUCUUCUUCUUCGCUUUACCAUUUAAAAAAUCAAAGUAUUACUAGCGCUACGAUUACGGUAUGAUGAGAGGAUCUCAUUUACUGAUGCUUGCUCAACUCUUUUCGGAAAAGAAAUCGACGGAAUUGGAAGAAGGAAGAAACAGCUACAGUUAAAAAAGAUUUCAGGCCCAAAUCGGGCAGAAAGCAACGGAAAGCGCAGAAAGGCAGCAAAAUAUAUUUUUAAAUUGCCCAUUCUACCCCUAAAAAACUGUUGAAUAAAAUAUUUAUUUACUUAUAUAUCCAAAAUCACCUGCUUUCUUUCAUAAACUCCCAAACAACAUUAAAAUAUCUUCUCUUCUUUUCUUAUCCUUUCUUCCCUCUCGUAACUUAACCUCUCUCUUCUUUUCUUUUCUAUCCUCAACUCACAAACUAGCUAUAAAUCUCAUUGGAUUAGGAAUUAAAAACCAGAAGAAGGAGCUGUUUGGGGGUGAAGGUGUAAUAUAACUGUAAGAGAAAGGGCCGAAGCACGAAUAAAGCGGAGAUGGGAUGGCGGCGCCCCCACACCUUAUCAUCCAAAUAUCAUCCAAGUAUCUCCGGGCAGCUUCCGCCACACACGCCGUAACUCCUAUCACCCUACUGCUCCUCAGUCCUCAGUAUACCAUAGCUUGGCUUCCCCGAAUGGCCGUUCCCAUUUAUAACUACUACUGUUCCCCGCUCCUCGGCUGCCUGCCCUGUGCCUUCCCCUUCUCCUCCUUUCCACCGUAUCGUCAGCUACACCUUCUCUCACCCAAUUCUUUACACUCCUCUUCUUCUUCGCUUUACCAUUUAAAAAAUCAAAGUAUUACUAGCGCUACGAUUACGGUAUGAUGAGAGGAUCUCAUUUACUGAUGCUUGCUCAACUCUUUUCGGAAAAGAAAUCGACGGAAUUGGAAGAAGGAAGAAACAGCUACAGUUAAAAAAGAUUUCCGGCCCAAAUCGGGCAGAAAGCAACGGAAAGCGCAGAAAGGCAGCAAAAUAUAUUUUUAAAUUGCCCAUUCUACCCCUAAAAAACUGUUGAAUAAAAUAUUUAUUUACUUAUAUAUCCAAAAUCACCUGCUUUCUUUCAUAAACUCCCAAACAACAUUAAAAUAUCUUCUCUUCUUUUCUUAUCCUUUCUUCCCUCUCGUAACUUAACCUCUCUCUUCUUUUCUUUUCUAUCCUCAACUCACAAACUAGCUAUAAAUCUCAUUGGAUUAGGAAUUAAAAACCAGAAGAAGGAGCUGUUUGGGGGUGAAGGUGUAAUAUAACUGUAAGAGAAAGGGCCGAAGCACGAAUAAAGCGGAGAUGGGAUGGCGGCGCCCCCACACCUUAUCAUCCAAAUAUCAUCCAAGUAUCUCCGGGCAGCUUCCGCCACACACGCCGUAACUCCUAUCACCCUACUGCUCCUCAGUCCUCAGUAUACCAUAGCUUGGCUUCCCCGAAUGGCCGUUCCCAUUUAUAACUACUACUGUUCCCCGCUCCUCGGCUGCCUGCCCUGUGCCUUCCCCUUCUCCUCCUUUCCACCGUAUCGUCAGCUACACCUUCUCUCACCCAAUUCUUUACACUCCUCUUCUUCUUCGCUUUACCAUUUAAAAAAUCAAAGUAUUACUAGCGCUACGAUUACGGUAUGAUGAGAGGAUCUCAUUUACUGAUGCUUGCUCAACUCUUUUCGGAAAAGAAAUCGACGGAAUUGGAAGAAGGAAGAAACAGCUACAGUUAAAAAAGAUUUCAGGCCCAAAUCGGGCAGAAAGCAACGGAAAGCGCAGAAAGGCAGCAAAAUAUAUUUUUAAAUUGCCCAUUCUACCCCUAAAAAACUGUUGAAUAAAAUAUUUAUUUACUUAUAUAUCCAAAAUCACCUGCUUUCUUUCAUAAACUCCCAAACAACAUUAAAAUAUCUUCUCUUCUUUUCUUAUCCUUUCUUCCCUCUCGUAACUUAACCUCUCUCUUCUUUUCUUUUCUAUCCUCAACUCACAAACUAGCUAUAAAUCUCAUUGGAUUAGGAAUUAAAAACCAGAAGAAGGAGCUGUUUGGGGGUGAAGGUGUAAUAUAACUGUAAGAGAAAGGGCCGAAGCACGAAUAAAGCGGAGAUGGGAUGGCGGCGCCCCCACACCUUAUCAUCCAAAUAUCAUCCAAGUAUCUCCGGGCAGCUUCCGCCACACACGCCGUAACUCCUAUCACCCUACUGCUCCUCAGUCCUCAGUAUACCAUAGCUUGGCUUCCCCGAAUGGCCGUUCCCAUUUAUAACUACUACUGUUCCCCGCUCCUCGGCUGCCUGCCCUGUGCCUUCCCCUUCUCCUCCUUUCCACCGUAUCGUCAGCUACACCUUCUCUCACCCAAUUCUUUACACUCCUCUUCUUCUUCGCUUUACCAUUUAAAAAAUCAAAGUAUUACUAGCGCUACGAUUACGGUAUGAUGAGAGGAUCUCAUUUACUGAUGCUUGCUCAACUCUUUUCGGAAAAGAAAUCGACGGAAUUGGAAGAAGGAAGAAACAGCUACAGUUAAAAAAGAUUUCCGGCCCAAAUCGGGCAGAAAGCAACGGAAAGCGCAGAAAGGCAGCAAAAUAUAUUUUUAAAUUGCCCAUUCUACCCCUAAAAAACUGUUGAAUAAAAUAUUUAUUUACUUAUAUAUCCAAAAUCACCUGCUUUCUUUCAUAAACUCCCAAACAACAUUAAAAUAUCUUCUCUUCUUUUCUUAUCCUUUCUUCCCUCUCGUAACUUAACCUCUCUCUUCUUUUCUUUUCUAUCCUCAACUCACAAACUAGCUAUAAAUCUCAUUGGAUUAGGAAUUAAAAACCAGAAGAAGGAGCUGUUUGGGGGUGAAGGUGUAAUAUAACUGUAAGAGAAAGGGCCGAAGCACGAAUAAAGCGGAGAUGGGAUGGCGGCGCCCCCACACCUUAUCAUCCAAAUAUCAUCCAAGUAUCUCCGGGCAGCUUCCGCCACACACGCCGUAACUCCUAUCACCCUACUGCUCCUCAGUCCUCAGUAUACCAUAGCUUGGCUUCCCCGAAUGGCCGUUCCCAUUUAUAACUACUACUGUUCCCCGCUCCUCGGCUGCCUGCCCUGUGCCUUCCCCUUCUCCUCCUUUCCACCGUAUCGUCAGCUACACCUUCUCUCACCCAAUUCUUUACACUCCUCUUCUUCUUCGCUUUACCAUUUAAAAAAUCAAAGUAUUACUAGCGCUAC
rnacentral:lncRNA from 1 species